CACCAUUCAAAGGUAACUCAGUCAUCCAUGAAACUGAAUACAAAAGAAAUUUCAAGGGUUUAUCUCCAGUGAAAGAACCAAAAUUAAGAAAUGAUUUGAGAGAAAACAGAAAUCUUGAAACAGUGUCUCCUGAAAGGAAGAGUAAUAAAAUAGACGAUCGUUUAAAAUUGGAAGCAGAGAUGGAAUUAAAAGACUUACACCAGCCUAAAAGGAAGCUUACUCCUUGGAAACAUCAAAGGCUUGGGAAGGUGAAUUCCGAAUAUAGAGCAAAAUUUCUGAGCCCAGCUCAGUAUUUAUAUAAAGCUGGGGCUUGGACACAUGUAAAGGGAAACAUGCCAAAUCAGGUGAGUGUACAUGACCUCAAUAAGCCUACAUGUUCUUUCAGCCUCUGUUAACACUUUAAUUUCACAACGAGUUCCUUUUGGUAAUAGAGACCACAAUUUAAAGAAGUAUGAUAUAAUAAUAGCACUAAUAGUAUCAGGAACUUAUGUAUUAGAAUGUAAAUUAUCAUUUUUUUUAAUGCCACUGGCUCUUCAGAAAUUAAUAUUUAUUGAGGUCUUUUAAGUUUAAUGCUUUUUACCAUCAAACAUUUGAUUGUGUUAAUAGUCAAUUUAUAGAAUUGUAUCAUUAUAGAUUCGAUUAUUUCAUAACCUCCAGACCUCCACUGUCUCAACUGAAGAUUAAUUUUCAAGAUGAAAUAAUUUAUCUGAUAGUGAUG
rnacentral:lncRNA from 1 species